ACGACGUCAAGUCAUCAUGGCCCUUACGACCAGGGCUACACACGUGCUACAAUGGUAGGUACAGAGGGCAGCUACACAGCGAUGUGAUGCGAAUCUCAAAAAGCCUAUCGUAGUCCAGAUUGGAGUCUGCAACUCGACUCCAUGAAGUAGGAAUCGCUAGUAAUCGCGGAUCAGAAUGCCGCGGUGAAUACGUUCCCGGGCCUUGUACACACCGCCCGUCACACCAUGGGAGUUGAUUGCACCAGAAGUGGAUAGCUUAACCUUCGGGGAGGCGUUCACCACGGUGUGGUUGAUGACUAGGGUGAAGUCGUAACAAGGUA
rnacentral:rRNA from 1 species